CGGUCCAAACUCCUACGGGAGGCAGCAGUGAGGAAUAUUGGUCAAUGGGCGAAGGCCUGAACCAGCCAAGUAGCGUGAAGGAUGACAGCCCUAUGGGUUGUAAACUUCUUUUGGUCGGGAAUAACAGACACCACUUGUGGUGUUUUGCAUGUACCGGCCGAAUAAGGAUCGGCUAACUCCGUGCCAGCAGCCGCGGUAAUACGGAGGAUCCGAGCGUUAUCCGGAUUUAUUGGGUUUAAAGGGAGCGUAGGCGGGAAGUCAAGUCAGCUGUGAAAUGCGCACGCUCAACGUACGCCUUGCAGUUGAAACUGGUUUUCUUGAGUGCGUAAGAGGCAGGCGGAAUUCGUGGUGUAGCGGUGAAAUGCUUAGAUAUCACGAGGAACUCCAAUUGCGAAGGCAGCUUGCUAGGCCGCUACUGACGCUGAUGCUCGAAGGUGCGGGUAUCAAACAGGAUUAGAUACCCUGGUAGUCCGCACAGUAAACGAUGGACACUCGCUAUCGGCGAUACACUGCCGGUGGCCAAGCGAAAGCGUUAAGUGUCCCACCUGGGGGAGUACG
rnacentral:rRNA from 1 species